rnacentral:lncRNA from 1 species
GUCUAGGGAGGCCAGUUGCAAGUGUUAACAACUCCCACUGAAGACCCAGCCAACUGAGUCAAUUCUGAACAUUGUUUCCACCAACCGCGCUAAUACAGGAAGGAAAAGAGCUACCUCCUUUUGGAUGUGAGUUAGCACAUUCUUAUAACAGCAUUUGAAAAAUUCCUUUUCUUCUCCAUCCUUUAGUAAUUUUCCUCUUCUCCUAGGAAGCCUAACAAGCAACCAAUCCAACACAGAAAAUGAAGGAACAUUUUUGACCCAAUUUGCUCUUCAUAAGACCAGAAAAGCACGACGUAGCUAUGAGAAGAUGCAAUUAUUUUUCACUCCUGCGCAUAGGUCUACUUCAAAGGGAAAGGUAAUUUCCUGUUUUUAUACUUAUAUAAACAAGAAUGAAGAGAAACAGUAACUCAUGCUGCUUAUAGAACAAAAGUUUUUUAUGCAAGAAUGAAGUAAAUAUUUGUUACUCAGGUAAGAUGACAUAUAACUUUUCUGUAAAGACAUCUGAUUAGAUGAAAAUGAAC